UGGAAACUGACCAGGUAAAGAAGAAGCUGUAACCUCCCAGGAAGGAUGGAGGCCAGUGGCAUGCCUCUGGAGCACACUGUAUUCCAUCCACAUUGUCAAUGUGAAUUAAAGAUAAAACAGCCAAUACAGCAAAAUGGAGGUUUUUCAUCUGGGACAGUGAGUUGCAGCUCGGAGUGCUACAUAGCAAGUUCUGAGCUUGGAUUCAAGUCCCAGAAAGCUGAUCCUUGCCCAUUAAGAGAAUGAGAUGCUGCUCUGAAUCUAAUCCUAUACAGGAGCAAGGAAGGAACAAUGCUCUU